rnacentral:rRNA from 1 species
AUUGAACGCUGGCGGCAGGCCUAACCCAUGCAAGUCGAACGAGUGGCGGACGUGUUCGUAAUGUCUGUGAAACAGCCAGAAGGAGGGGGAUAACUACUGGAAACGUUAGCUAAUACCGAACACCAUCGAAUGUGCACAGAUGGGAUUAGCUAGUAGGUUGGUUAACGGCUCACCUAGGCGACGAUCCCUAGCUGGUCUGAGAGGCUGACCAGCCACACUGGAACUGAGACAAGGUCCAGACUCCUACGGGAGGCAGAAGUGGGGAAUAUGGCGAAAUGGGCGCAAGCCUGAUGCAGCAAUGCCGCGUGAAUGAAGAAGGCCUUCGGGUUGUAAAGUACUUUCAGCGGGGAGGCGUUACCCGCAGAAGAAGCACCGGCUAACUCCGUGCCAGCAGCCGCGGUAAUUC